rnacentral:rRNA from 1 species
UGAGUAACACGUGAGUGACCUGCCUUUUAGACUGGAACAACUUACCGAAAGGUGAGCUAAUGCCGGAUGAGUUAUAUAAGUGCAUGUUUAUAUAGGAAAAGUUGGGGAGACCUGACGCUGAAAGAUGGACUCGCGUCCCAUUAGCUAGUUGGUAGGGUAAUGGCCUACCAAGGCGACGAUGGGUAGCCGGCCUGAGAGGGUGGCCGGCCACAUUGGGACUGAGACACGGCCCAAACUCCUACGGGAGGCAGCAG